rnacentral:rRNA from 1 species
GAUGAGCGCUGGCGGCGUGCCUAAUACAUGCAAGUCGAGCGAACGGACGAGAAGCUUGCUUCUCUGAUGUUAGCGGCGGACGGGUGAGUAACACGUGGAUAACCUACCUAUAAGACUGGGAUAACUUCGGGAAACCGGAGCUAAUACCGGAUAAUAUUUUGAACCGCAUGGUUCAAAAGUGAAAGACGGUCUUGCUGUCACUUAUAGAUGGAUCCGCGCUGCAUUAGCUAGUUGGUAAGGUAACGGCUUACCAAGGCAACGAUGCAUAGCCGACCUGAGAGGGGGAUCGGCCACCCUGGAACUGAGCACCGGCCCAGACUCCUAGGGGAGGCAGAAGUAGGGAAUCUUCCGAAAGGGGCGAAAGCCUGACGGAGCAACGCCGCGUGAGUGAUGAAGGUCUUCGGAUCGUAAAACGCUGUUAUUAGGGAAGAACAUAUGUGUAAGUAACUGUGCACAUCUGGCCGGUACCUAAUCAGAAAGCCCCGGCAAACUACGG